UGUCAUAUCACUUUGAAACACCGAUUGUCCUAAGAUAUCCGAAGUUAAACAACUUCAAGCCUGGCCAGUACCAAGAUGGGUGACCACUUGGGAAUACCAGAUGCUGUAAG